GUUUUCCUUUCAUAACAUAAUAUAUUUGAUGCUUUCAAAAUCUUUGUCCAUCAGUCAGAAAGAUUUGCACGGAAGGCAACUGUACUUCAAAUGGCCACUAUUUAUAUUGUUUUUGGUGGAACCCUGCUAAAUAUUGGGAUCACAGUUAGCAGCCUAGGUAGCCAAGUAAUAGCGAACGGAUCUUUCAUUGGAGCUGGUGUUUUCUUCGCACUAUUAAUUAGGUCCAUGCAAAGAGUGAAGAAGCUUGAUAAAUUUGAGAAGAUGAUUUGAUUCUUGUGCAGGGAGCAAGCACCUCUCUUACCUGUAUAGUGAAUCUAAAUUUUCUGUUUCAAUUAUUUAACAGUGAAAUUGUUUGUUGGUGUGCAUGCCAUCCUCACGAGUUGUAAGGCAUGUUUCUGCACCAUGGUCAUUGAUAUUGGUCGCCAGCCCAAACAUAUCCCAAUUGAGUUUGAAAAUUCUUCAA